CUGGAGGUAUCAGAAGUGCGAAUGCUGACAUAAGUAACGAUAAAGCGGGUGAAAAGCCCGCUCGCCGGAAGACCAAGGGUUCCUGUCCAACGUUAAUCGGGGCAGGGUGAGUCGACCCCUAAGGCGAGGCCGAAAGGCGUAGUCGAUGGGAAACAGGUUAAUAUUCCUGUACUUGGUGUUACUGCGAAGGGGGGACGGAGAAGGCUAUGUUGGCCGGGCGACGGUUGUCCCGGUUUAAGCGUGUAGGCUGGUUUUCCAGGCAAAUCCGGAAAAUCAAGGCUGAGGCGUGAUGACGAGGCACUACGGUGCUGAAGCAACAAAUGCCCUGCUUCCAGGAAAAGCCUCUAAGCAUCAGGUAACAUCAAAUCGUACCCCAAACCGACACAGGUGGUCAGGUAGAGAAUACCAAGGCGCUUGAGAGAACUCGGGUGAAGGAACUAGGCAAAAUGGUGCCGUAACUUCGGGAGAAGGCACGCUGAUAUGUAGGUGAAGUCCCUUGCGGAUGGAGCUGAAAUCAGUCGAAGAUACCAGCUGGCUGCAACUGUUUAUUAAAAACACAGCACUGUGCAAACACGAAAGUGGACGUAUACGGUGUGACGCCUGCCCGGUGCCGGAAGGUUAAUUGAUGGGGUCAGCGCAAGCGAAGCUCUUGAUCGAAGCCCCGGUAAACGGCGGCCGUAACUAUAACGGUCCUAAGGUAGCGAAAUUCCUUGUCGGGUAAGUUCCGACCUGCACGAAUGGCGUAAUGAUGGCCAGGCUGUCUCCACCCGAGACUCAGUGAAAUUGAACUCGCUGUGAAGAUGCAGUGUACCCGCGGCAAGACGGAAAGACCCCGUGAACCUUUACUAUAGCUUGACACUGAACAUUGAGCCUUGAUGUGUAGGAUAGGUGGGAGGCUUUGAAGUGUGGACGCCAGUCUGCAUGGAGCCGACCUUGAAAUACCACCCUUUAAUGUUUGAUGUUCUAACGUUGACCCGUAAUCCGGGUUGCGGACAGUGUCUGGUGGGUAGUUUGACUGGGGCGGUCUCCUCCUAAAGAGUAACGGAGGAGCACGAAGGUUGGCUAAUCCUGGUCGGACAUCAGGAGGUUAGUGCAAUGGCAUAAGCCAGCUUGACUGCGAGCGUGACGGCGCGAGCAGGUGCGAAAGCAGGUCAUAGUGAUCCGGUGGUUCUGAAUGGAAGGGCCAUCGCUCAACGGAUAAAAGGUACUCCGGGGAUAACAGGCUGAUACCGCCCAAGAGUUCAUAUCGACGGCGGUGUUUGGCACCUCGAUGUCGGCUCAUCACAUCCUGGGGCUGAAGUAGGUCCCAAGGGUAUGGCUGUUCGCCAUUUAAAGUGGUACGCGAGCUGGGUUUAGAACGUCGUGAGACAGUUCGGUCCCUAUCUGCCGUGGGCGCUGGAGAACUGAGGGGGGCUGCUCCUAGUACGAGAGGACCGGAGUGGACGCAUCACUGGUGUUCGGGUUGUCAUGCCAAUGGCACUGCCCGGUAGCUAAAUGCGGAAGAGAUAAGUGCUGAAAGCAUCUAAGCACGAAACUUGCC
rnacentral:rRNA from 1 species